GAUUGGUAGGGAUUUAGGAGGAAAAGUAGAGGGAAAGGCUCAUUAGUUGUAUUUUAAUAUGAAAAGUAUUUUGUUUACUUCAAAAAAUCAACUGUAAUUAUUUUGAGAUGAUCAUUUUUAUAACCUGAAAUGCACAAAACAAGAGUCUCAUGAAAUAUUAAGUCAUCACUCAUACAACUCCACAGUGCCUACUCAGUUUCAAGCACAGAGUACCAUAAAAUAAUGGCCUGAGGUGGGGAAUUAUUAUCCACAGCACCAGAGCCCAGAGGUCUAGGAAUUCCAGUGCAUGGCUCUAAGGGAAGAAGUGCUGCUGAAAUAAGACAAGAGCCAGCAAAGCUUUGAUGGCUGCAAGAAUGAGAGUAGAGUUCCUGCAGUAUCUGAAGAAUUCAAAGAAGCCUAGCCUAAGCCUCGGGCAUCCUUAGUUCAAGGGUCCUCACACAGGCAGUUAUGUGUAUUACAGUGUCUCUAAAAAAAAAAGCACCACCUACAUUCAUCCCUCAGUUAGGAACAGACCUCUAUUUUAAUAACCACGAUCUAAUGCAUGAAAAAAGAGGUAAUUCCCAUAGGAAAGUUCUAUUCUUUUAAAUUCACAUAGGCAGGCCUAGGUUGUAUCACUGCAUUUCACAGAAUGACAGUAUUUUCAAAAUGGGCUAUUUAACUUCCUCAUUUAAUAGGUGAGAAACCUGAGCAUCCAGAAAAACCAUUUUAUUAAGACUAUAUAAAAGAACUGGUAACAAACUGAGAGUAU